GAUGAAGAACGCAGCGAAAUGCGAUACUUGGUAUGAAUUGCAGAAUCCCGUGAACCAUCGAGUCUUUGAACGCAAGUUGCGCCCGAAGCCUCGGCUAAGGGCACGUCUGCCUGGGCGUCACGCAUCGCGUCUCCCCCAAACCGCCAAGGCGGAGGGGAAGGAAGAUGGCUUCCCGUGCCUCACCCGGCGCGGUUGGCCUAAAUUUGGAGCCCGCGGCACUUAGCUCUCGCGGCGAUAGGUGGUGAACAAGGCCUUGGCCGUGCAAACAACCCGCUGCGAAGCUCUAUGUCACGUGCGCUCGUCGGACCCUUUGAAGUUGCCUUCGGUGACUUAAAACCUUUGCGACCCCAGGUCAGGCGGGGCUACCCGCUGAAUUUAAGCAUAUCAAUAAGCGGAGGA
rnacentral:misc_RNA from 1 species